CAAGUUUUAGAAAAAUUUACCAACCAAUUUUUCCAUAUCGAUAGAGUUUUAUACUUCACGAAUUCCAAUAAUGCCGCGCUAUAUUCUUUUGCUUUAAUUUUAGCAAUAUUAUUUUAAGAUUGCAAGAAAAUCACAAGGGGUGUCGCGUCUCCCAUGAAGAGAACUCGAGGUAGCUGCUAAAAAACUCUACGAAGCGUCGUGGCCAAGUUUAGUCAAGAAAGUUCUAUACUUGACCUUAAUGGCGUCAGUCCAAUGCCAUAAACUUCGCGAAAUAUUCCCAAAUAAAUCGAACGCAUUUUAGAAAAUUGAUUUUACGGCGAAAAUACAUCUACAAAGCAAUACAAAACUUCACGUUACGUUUGUGUCGCAUUGAAUUUCGGAUUUGCUGCAACAUUAGAACUGCAUUUUACAUCGUAAAGACCGUCAACGUUGAAAGGAAAAAAAAAUUCGAAGAAAGGAUAUUGUCAAAGAAUUUCAAUGGAGACAAAAAACUACACCUUUCAAUGAAGAAAUUU